rnacentral:rRNA from 1 species
ACGUAGGUGGCGAGCGUUGUCCGGAUUUACUGGGCGUAAAGGGAGCGUAGGCGGACUUUUAAGUCAGAUGUGAAAUACCCGGGCUCAACUUGGGAGCUGCAUUGAAAACUGGAAGUCUAGAGUGCAGGAGAGGAGAGGGGAAUUCCUAGUGUAGCGGUGAAAUGCGUAGAUAUUAGGAAGAACACCAGUGGCGAAGGCGAUUUUCUGGACUGUAACUGACGCUGAGGCGCGAAAGCGUGGGGAGCAAACAG